AGUCAGUUCGGCAGUUCGGAGCGUGAAUAAUUUGGGUCAGUUCGGGAGUUCGGAGCGUGACUCAUUUGAGUCAGUUCGGGGGUUUGGAGCGGCAUCGCGGCAUGAGGAACACCUGCUCCACUCAACGGUCUUGCAUCCCACAUAGGAGAUCGGAGGGAUACAAAAGAGGAGCGAUGACAGUAAAGGACGAGAGAGGACCAGGCCUGGACUUUAUUUUGUGUUUGUGCGUGACAGUCGUCUGCGAGGGGCUGGCACGAUGUUUUGUCUUUAUUUUAUUAUUGAAGCUUUGUUUGAUUGUCUGCCGGUUCCCGCCUCCUCCUUCCUGAGAUUGUGAAGUUUUUAUGCCGUUACAGUAAUGUUGAGACUUUAUUAAACGAUCAUCUACGAAAAUACAGUGUUAUCAAUGUACUUUCAGGGAGGGACUUGUCAGCAAAUCUACUUCACAGCACGUCAGUGAAAGCAGUUGACAGUUACAGACGUGUGUGUUGGAUCAGGGUCAGGGUCAGAUCUGAAUUCUGCAGGUUUCCUGGGAUGACUGUUGAAGAGAUCAGCACAUCAGAUGUUGGCCUGGACAGCUGUACCUACAGUACACCACACUGACUUCCUUGCAUGGAUAGCUGACUACUACUGUUAUGUUCUGUGAAGGCCCUGAAUGGUUUUGGACUGGUCGUGUCCACAGAAGGCUCCAUCUUCUAUGCCUCUCACACCAUUCAGGACUUCCUGGGUUUC